rnacentral:lncRNA from 10 species
CCGGCCUUCUAUGUUAGCGGGUAGGUCUGAGCCCACUGGAGCUCUGGAUCACCUGGUUUAUUUGAGGUCAGAUCAUCACUAGGUCUAGACCCAUGAUCUACCAGAAAACAGAAAGGCCUUACGGAUGUGACUGUGGAAUCAUUGCUGGUACCCCUUGGGAAGUCAUCAUGAAAGGUUGCAAGCAGUCUUAGAAAACUGGCAAUAGGGAUUAUAUUGUCCCAUUUUUCCAAUUUUAGACUGGUUGAAUUAUUUAAAAAGUCUUAGGAAGAGGAACUAGGAAAGAAGCUGUCCCCUGCUCCUGCCCCCUUCACAGUUUCUUACUGAAAGGAAUUUUGUUGAGAGCUCACCUUGAAAAUUUCUGCCAUUUAGAAAGACAUUAAACUUUAUAGUGAGUAUUGUUCACAUACUAUAAGGAACAACUAUCAUAUUGAAUUUAACAAAUCUAUUUAUAUACAUAUACUCUCUCUGUAUACAUAUAUAGAGUAUAUUGCAGGUAAAAGACACUGUCCUAGUUAUAGCAGCAAACAUAAUUAAGCAUAAAAUACUUUCUUGCUUAUAAAGAGUUUAUAAUUUAUUUGAGGCAAUAAGACAUAUGUCACAUAUAUUUAUGUGUAUAUGUAAACACAGUUAUCAACUCAUGCCCAUGCCAAUAUAGCAUACAGGAGUUUUAGGAAUGCUAAAUAGGAAACCAAGUUGAGGAGAAAAUGCAUUUUAGCCACUAUUUCUACAUGUAAAAUAAAAAUAAUAUUCCUUCACAACCUGGCCACAGUUCAGAGAAAAAUUAUGUUAUAUAGCCUAAGACCCUCUGAAUGAAGGUAGUAAUUGCAUAACUCAACUAAUAAGCUACCCAGAAUUUGAAACACAAAUCCAGUGAGAUCAGUCUUCCUGGGUGACCAAUCUUCUUAGGUGGAACUGAUGCUCAUUACAUUAUAAUGCUAACUAUUUAACCAUCUCCUAACUCCUGACAUUGGCCUUUGUCAGCAUGACACUAGGACAAAUGACCAUUAAUUCCUAUAGCAGGAAAAUAGACCUUGCCUUUAUAUAUCAUAUUACGUAAAAAUUGCAACAAUAUUAUUACAUGCUAACUAAUGUAAGGUAAUGGUUACUAACUUGGGUUGAAUGGGGAAUCUAAUGAGAGUUCUAGAUUAACUCCAGAAAAAUGAACAUGUGCACAUUCCACAUGAUACAGCAAACACUUUUGGGAAGUCUUCAUUUAGACCCAGCAUAAAGACCCUUGAUCUAAGGUGUAAUUUGGUCAAGUCACUGAUUUAAAUAAAGAAUGAAGGCCAGGCACGGUGGCUCACGUCUGUAAUCCCGGUACUUUGGGAGGCUGAGGGGCGGGCGGAGCACUUGAGGUCAGGAGUUUGAGACCAGCCUGGCCAACGUGGUGAAACCCCAUCUCUACUGG